rnacentral:rRNA from 1 species
ACAGCAGUAGCCGCGGUAAUACGGAGGGUGCAAGCGUUAAUCGGAAUUACUGGGCGUAAAGCGCACGCAGGCGGUCUGUCAAGUCAGAUGUGAAAUCCCCGGGCUUAACCUGGGAACUGCAUUUGAAACUGGCAGGCUAGAGUCUUGUAGAGGGGGGUAGAAUUCCAGGUGUAGCGGUGAAAUGCGUAGAGAUCUGGAGGAAUACCGGUGGCGAAGGCGGCCCCCUGGACAAAGACUGACGCUCAGGUGCGAAAGCGUGGGGAGCAAACAGGAUUAGAUACCCGAGUAGUCCCUGUCUCUUAUAC